rnacentral:rRNA from 1 species
GGAGUUUGGGCCGUGUCUCAGUCCCAAUGUGGCCGGUCAUCCUCUCAGAUCGGCUACCAAUCGUCGCCUUGGUGGGCCGUUACCUCACCAACUAGCUAAUUGGACGCGGGUCCAUCCUGUACCACCGGAGUUUUUACCCCUGCACCAUGCGGUGCUGUGGUCUUAUGCGGUAUUAACAGUCGUUUCCAACUGUUGUCCCCCUGUACAAGGUAGGUUACCCACGCGUUACUCACCCGUCCGCCACUCAGUCAACAAAUCGUCACCCCGAAGGAAUCGUGAUAAGUUGCUUCGUUCGACUUGCAUGUGUUAAGCACGCCGCCAGCGUUCAUC